CAGCAGCUCCCACAUAUAAAGAAGAGUCACCAUUUACUCCAGAUGGCUCAGGAAGUUCAUCUUCAGUAAGGUCGAGACUCCAGAUAUAUUGUAGGGUUAACAGGAUGUUUCCAUAGAAGACCAUGAAUGGAGAUGUGAGCAUUGCAUAUCGUCGACGGUUUCGCAUCAUCCACAGUACACAUGACCAAAUCAACAACACAAAGAGAAUUCUCUGUCCCAGAAGAUUAAAGAAGCUAGUUCCUUCGAUGUAGAUUCUUACGUUCUUAAGAUAUGCAUCUCCGACGGAACUUGACCCAAGUACCCCUGGAGCCCUCCAAAACAUAGGAAUCUGUGCAGGAACUGACAUCCUGUCUUGUAUUAUGUGAAAUUUGUUGUUUUGUGGAAGCAGUACAGUGAAAAGACAUAAAAUUACUAUAAAUGACAAAAAAAAUAC